rnacentral:rRNA from 1 species
CAGUCGCCGCGGUAAUACGUAGGUGGCGAGCGUUGUCCGGAUUUAUUGGGCGUAAAGGGAGUGUAGGCGGUCUUUUAAGUCUGAUGUGAAGGCCCACGGCUCAACCGUGGAGGGUCAUUGGAAACUGGGAGACUUGAGUGCAGAAGAGGAGAGCGGAAUUCCAUGUGUAGCGGUGAAAUGCGUAGAUAUAUGGAGGAGCACCAGUGGCGAAGGCGGCUCUCUGGUCUGUAACUGACGCUGAGGCUCGAAAGCGUGGGGAGCAAACAGGAUUAGAUACCCCCGUAGUCCCUGUCUCUUAUAU